UACGUAGGGUGCAAGCGUUGUCCGGAAUUAUUGGGCGUAAAGAGCUCGUAGGCGGCUUGUCGCGUCGGCUGUGAAAACCUGGGGCUCAACCCCCGGGCCUGCAGCCGAUACGGGCAAGCUAGAAUUCGGUAGGGGAGACUGGAAUUCCUGGUGUAGCGGUGAAAUGCGCAGAUAUCAGGAGGAACACCAAUUGCGAAGGCAGCUCGCUGGGACGUUACUGACGCUGAGACGCGAAAAGCGUGGGGGAGCAAAACAGG
rnacentral:rRNA from 1 species